CGGGGCCGAGGGAGAGCCCCCCGCCCUGCUUCUUUCUUUUAAUUUAAUCCAGCAUGUCCGACGUUUGGCUUCUGGUGCGCAGAGGCCGGGAGAAGUAACAGAACACCCGUCUGAGCAGUUCCCAGCAGAUGCUUUUUUCAAAAGUACUUGGGAUCUGCCUGGCAGGUGGCUGGAACCGGGCGCAGGUCGGCCCAGCGCCCCUAGCGCACCGGCCUCCGCGUCGCCGGGCUAAGAUCAGGCAUUCAAGGACCCGAAAGCCUGAGCAGCACUGGGUCCAGACACCCCCGCCCAGGGAGCGGGGCCGCGCCUCUGACCAUCUUCCGUCCGUUCCGUCUCGGUCUUUAUCUCUCCUGGCCACACUGCAGCGGCGCGCCGGUCAGGAUGGAGACCGGGAAUUUAUGGCCCAGACGAAGAUUGCCCCUUCUUCACCUGCAAGCAGACCUGGAAGGGGGCACCUCGACGUGCACGAGGCGGGCGAAAUUCCGCAACGAAGAAAAGCCCUUGAACUACCGCCUCUCUCUUAGACAUACGCAGGGCACUUUUACAAAGUAAUCUCUGACAUUUCCUUUAGAAUGCGGCUCCCCAGGAGAAAACGGGCUCUUCUCAGGGAGUCGAGGUGCCGGCUCAGCGGCCGUGGAUCCAUCCUCUCGACUCCCCUCCCUCCAUAUUUGUCUCUGCCGCCUCAUCCGGAGACCCGAAAAAGGCUGUUUAAACGAGACGUCAAGGACACCAGCACCGGCACUAGGAACCCUCCCUCCCCCGCCGGCCGCACUCGGCCGGGCACGGAGGAGUUAAAGCCGGAGCCUUCUGUUGUCGGCUUCCUUUCUCCGCCCCCCACUCGCUCCCGCGGGGCCGCCGGGAUUGGUUGGCACGCUGCCAGGAAGCUGUCAAUCACCGAGUGUAAACAAGGCACUGAUUGGCUGUUGUCCAGUCUGCAGCGGGCCUCCUGAAAAAAGCAAUUACUGGUCGGGCGGUUUCCAGGCGGCCCGGGCCGCGGGAUGAAAGGAGAUAAGCCGGGGACCGUUUCCAGGAUCCCCGCGGGCCGACCGGGGCGGCCCGGGAGCCGAGGCGCGGCGGAGAGCCCGCGGAUCAAAGGAACCCGGAGAGCAGGGGGAGCGGCCGCGGCCGGGCCGGCGUCCCCCGCGGGCCUCCCUGGCCGGGCUGGGGGCGCGGGCGCGGGCGGGCGCCCCGGAGAGCCCGGGCCGCAGGCGUGUGGAGCAGGCUCUGCGCACUUGCCCGGGUGAGGGAGCCAGGGAAGGGGCAGGGCGCGGGCUCCCCGCAACCCUGCAGCCCUCGCGGCCUGCGCCUUGCGCCCUGUACGGGAGCUCGCAGCCAGCUCUGCCUGGCUGCCGAGGGGGACACACACCGCCUGAAGCUUGCACACACGUCUUGGUGCCCGUGGAUGUAUCACACUCCAGCGCACGUGACCACACAGCACCACACUCCUGCAGCCCUGCCCAAGCCGCCGCCUGCCUUCUUCCCAGAGGCCCAGCCACGGUCUGAGGGGCAGAGGUGCGGGCCUGGGACCUCCGGGAAGGGAUGGGCUCCAGGCCUUGUUCCCUGGGGCAGCGGCCGACUCAGACCAGGUAAGUGGGCGGGCUGCAGGUCCUCCCACCCACAGGACAUUUGCACCCAGCCCGGGGCUGCAUCCCAGUGAGUCUCAAAGGACAGCUCUGGACUCAGAGAAGGAGGUGGUGACCCCACAUUCCCAGGGGGCCUUCUGCCCCGCCCCAGGGCUUCUUCCUUCCCCUUGGUGGGGGCAGGGCUCCAUGGAGCACUGAGCUGGGAAGCCCCCGCCUAUAAGCUGCUCCGUGCCCUGACUCCAACGGUGGGAUGGGGCCCGGCCCCAGGUGUGGCCAGUUCCCCAGUGGGGCAGGCCUGGGCGGGGAGAAGGCUGUCCUGGGGACAAAGGCUCCGAGGGAGCUGCCCAGGGCCGGGAGCCCCCAAGCCCACCUGGCUCUGCAGCUGCUCUGGCCCCAAGGCGGGAGGCCGCAUGUUCCGAGGCCGAUCUCGGCUGGGGGUGUAGAUGUGGGAAGAGUGAUGGGUGGCACAGACGGCACCAGGAAUCUCCCAGCCUGGGGGCCCAGCCCCCAAGUUUCUUCUCUGAAGGCAGCUCUUGGUGAAGGGCCUGCAGAUGACGGCCUGCGGGACCCCAGGAGCCCUGCAUCUCUCCCCCGGCCAGUGCGGGAGGGGACCUGAGGGACGGCCCAGGCUAGAUCUGCUCCUCGGCAGAGGGACAAGGUUCUUGGGUGGGACACCCAGAGUCUGGCCCCAGAGCCCCCAGGGUAGGCAGACCCUGCUGAGGCAGGCAGGUGUGGGGGCUGCUUCCUUCAGGCUCCGCCCCAGAGCCCCGCCCAGAGCUCGGGGUGGGUUUGCAGUGAUCCUUGGGGGCUGUUGGUGGGUCUGUGCUCUGGGGAUGGCCCUGACUCCAACCCCAGCUGUGUGCAAGCCAGCGCCAGGGGCUCUCAGGCUAGUCCAGCCCA